GCUUGGAGCAGCGGGGCUUAACCCAGCGAGGCUCAGAGGUGGGUUGCUGAAGGACUCGGGGAGGCAGCUGCAACAGGGCAUCACUCACUGUCCAACUAUUUCCAUUUCUGAGCGCAAAAGGAAGAACUUAAGCGGGCGGCAGUUGGAGUGUAAAUUGCUUUGUAGUAUUUAAAAGCAGCACGGAUCGUGGGCAGCUGAGCUGAACUGUGACCUAUAAAUUCUCAGAGGAUACUGAAGCUUCCUGAAAAUGCCCGCUUCUCAAGACACAGCAACAAAUCAAAAGGACUUCAUGUGAAAUUAUUGACUACUCUAUGCCUCUCAGCCUCAAAUAACCCCAAUUCUAUGCACCUGGGAGCCAAAGCAAAUCAUAAGGAGCCACACACACUGCUCUGAUGAAGCAUCUCUGGAAGGAAGUCUCACAUGGGAUACAUCAAGUAUGGGAGAACGAACAUCCUAUUUCCCUUAAGAAAGCUUCAGGAAGAAAAGAAAAACAGUCAGGUCUCCGCCUCAGGAAAGGACCCAGAAAGGAGAAUUCUGUGAAGACUGUCAGGUUAAAGCAGGAUCUCUUUAUAAUGAACGGGAGGUUUAGAGAUCACUGUCGAGGUGGUUGAGAGGAGGCCCAGGCCAGCAUGUAAAAUGCUAGUUGUGUAAAAUUGACAAGGCUGUGAAGCUUGGUACUAUUAACUGGCCUUGUAGUAUCAGGUAGAGUGGAGCUCUGCUGACACCUAGCCCUGUACAGCACUUGCUCAGGAUUCUAAGAAUUUUUGAAGAGCUGGGUUGUUGACCCUGAAGGUUCCUCCUCUGAUGACUAGAGAACACCCCUCUCGGAUAAAUCAAUGCCUACUACAUAGUUGUAUGUUCUAUU